UUGUGAUGAAUUUUAAAAGAAGAAUAUGAUUUUUGAAUAUUAGGUUCUGCGAGGAAUUUGCGGAAUUAAUUGGAUUUUUCAUGGAUCGCGUUCGCAAGGUAAGUGAUGUAACCUCUUUACUAGAUUUAUCGGCAAACUAAAUAUCUGUUUUACGAAUCGAAUUAUUUGUGAUUACGAAUUUGAUGCAUGGAUUAUAUGUAUAUUUUUAGAAUAUUGUAUGACUCUGAUUGAACGUAUUUGCUUCUAGUUUGAAUUGUAUUUAAUUGCUCUGACAUUGUAUUUUUCAGCUUGAAACACUGAACAUAAUGUAAGAAAAGAUAAUGACUUGAAAUAGAUUCAGACUUGCAGUCGAGCUAUGUUGAGGACCCUGCCAAUGGGGGCUAAUACAUUGGUACCGCAAGAAGAAUAGUCGGUGAUAUGACCCUGCCAUAGGGAACAUGUGG
rnacentral:lncRNA from 1 species